GUAGGUGGCUAGCGUUGUCCGGGAAUUAUUGGGGCGUAAAGCGCGCGCAGGCGGUCCUUUAAGUCUGAUGUGAAAGCCCACGGGCUCAACCGUGGGAGGGUCAUUGGAAACUGGGGGACUUGAGUGCAGAAGAGAAGAGUGGAAUUCCACGUGUAGCGGUGAAAUGCGUAGAGAUGUGGAGGAACACCAGUGGCGAAGGCGACUCUUUGGUCUGUAACUGACGCUGAGGCGCGAAAGCGUGGGGAGCAAACAGGAUUAGAUACCCUGGUAGUCCACGCCGUAAACGAUGAGUGCUAAGUGUUAGAGGGUUUCCGCCCUUUAGUGCUGCAGCAAACGCAUUAAGCACUCCGCCUGGGGAGCACGGCCGCAAGGCUG
rnacentral:rRNA from 1 species